AUCCAGGAUGAGAAGACUGAUAAAAGAAGAAGCUAGCUGAACAGCUGUAAAAUGCCCAAAUCUGGGUUCACAAAACCAGUUCAGAGUGAAAAUUCUGACAGUGACAGCAAUAUGGUAGAGAAACCAUAUGGAAGAAAGAGAAAGAAGGUCCAGAAAAGAAGAAGACAAAAAAGGAAGCUGGAAAUAAGAAAUCCACACCAGUUAGCAUUCUUUUUGGUUAUCCACUCUCUGAGCGAAAACAGAUGGCACUUCUUAUGCAGAUGACAGCAAGAGACAACAGUCCAGAUUCCACACCAAAUCAUCCAUCACAAACAACGCCUGCC
rnacentral:sRNA from 1 species